GACGAACGCUGGCGGCGUGCCCAAUACAUGCAAGUCGAGCGAAGCGGCGGAUGGGUGAGUAACGCGUGGGUAAUCGGCCCUUAAGUCUGGGAUACCAUCUGGCAACAGAUGCUAAUACUGGAUACGAAAGGAUGGACCUGCGAUGCAUUAGCUAGUUGGUAAGGUAACGGCUUACCAAGGCGAUGAUGCAGAGCCGUGUUGAUAGACUGAUCGGCCACAUUGGGACUGAGACACGGCCCAAACUCCUACGGGAGGCAGCAGUAGGGAAUCUUCCACAAUGGACGAAAGUCUGAUGGAGCAACGCCGCGUGAGUGAAGAAGGUUUUCGGAUCGUAAAGCUCUGUUGUUGAUGAAGCGUUAAUCAACCAGAAAGUCACGGCUAACUACGUGCCAGCAGCCGCGGUAAUUC
rnacentral:rRNA from 1 species